CCCUUAGAUGUUCUGGGCCGCACGCGCGCUACACUGACGAAUGCAACGAACUUAUAACCUUGGCCGAAAGGUCUGGGUAAUCUCCAAAUUUCGUCGUGAUGGGGAUAGAUUAUUGCAAUUAUUAAUCUUCAACGAGGAAUGCCUAGUAAGCGCAAGUCAUCAGCUUGCGUUGAUUACGUCCCUGCCCUUUGUACACACCGCCCGUCGCUCCUACCGAUUGAAUGGUCCGGUGAAGCGUUCGGACCGUGGCCUUUGGACGGUUCGCCGUCUGUUGGCUGCGGGAAGUUCGUUAAACCUUAUCAUUUAGAGGAAGGAGAAGUCGUANCA
rnacentral:rRNA from 1 species